AAGGAGUAAAAGAUGCGUGGACUACAAUAAUACGCGAAGGAUCCGAAAAUGUCAUUACAUUAUACUGAAUAAGUAUAGGAUGAUUCUCCUUUUACGACGAAUCCAGCAAUGGCUUUAUAUAUUGGCACAUUUCCAUCCGUCAUGUCAACCACCAAAUGGAUGGACUGAUUAUCAAGAGCGAACAGUAGUACAGUACGCGCGACGUUUUCACGAGACAUCAUACAAUUUAUGGAUAUCUUACCCAAUGCAACUUUUCCAGAACCCUUCUCGUCUGUCAUACCAGAAGGACGUAAAAUCGUCCAAUCAAUAUCACUAGAGCGUCGCACUAAUUCCUGAUCCGCUAGGUACUUGUAAUGGUAAUAAGUUCCAAUUGACUGAUGUAUUUUCUCACUUAGCUCUAUAUCAGCAGCCGUAUAGUAAGGAGGAGGAGGUUGGCUCAUAUCACGAUUAUCUAUCGCAGAUAUCAUAAUUAAGCGUCGAAUACCAGCUAUCCUCAUAGCAUCAUAAACUUUUAUAGCACCUUCAUAAUCGACGGCUCUUGUUCGUUCAGGGCCGCCUUUACCUCCUGCACCGGCUGCAAAUAUAACAACAUCAGGGUGUAUUUCAGCUAAAAACUGAGCAAUAUCAUUAGGCGUCGCCUUCUCAAGUGAACAGACAGAAGUUCUGCCAUGCACUUUUUCAAUGUCUUCAUUCUGAACAUAAUCACGUACAACAUUGUAAACUAUAUGGCCAGCUUCUGUAGCAAUUUUAGUAAAAAGCAAGGCCACCUUUCCAUGCCCUCCAAAAACAACAAAAACAGUCAUUUCUUACAAAAUAAAAAUGCUGACGAUGAUUUCUUUAACCGUUGGGAAUCAAGAAUCCAAUAUAUCCUUCUCCCUUAUUGAAAAAGGAACUUAAUUAGCUGAUCCUUUGAAUAAAAGCAAUGGCAAUUGUUAAAAUGAGUAAUUUUUAGAAUUGGAAAUGCUGUGUAUCUGUCAAACCCCUCUUAAAAAAAGAAAGGAAUAAGGAAAAUGAAAACAAUCUACAAAAUUGAAUCGAAGAGACACACCACAGGGAAUGAGCAAAAGCACGGUUUACCU